CAUGCAGUCGAACGAUGAACUUGGAGCUUGCUCUGGGGGAUUAGUGGCGAACGGGUGAGUAACACGUGAGUAACCUGCCCUGGACUCUGGGAUAACUUCGAGAAAUCGGAGCUAAUACCGGAUAGGACCUUGCACCGCAUGGUGUGGGGUGGAAAGUUUUUCGGUUUGGGAUGGACUCGCGGCCUAUCAGCUUGUUGGUGAGGUAAUGGCUCACCAAGGCGUCGACGGGUAGCCGGCCUGAGAGGGUGACCGGCCACACUGGGACUGAGACACGGCCCAGACUCCUACGGGAGGCAGCAGUGGGGAAUAUUGCACAAUGGGCGCAAGCCUGAUGCAGCAACGCCGCGUGCGGGAUGACGGCCUUCGGGUUGUAAACCGCUUUUAGUAGGGAAGAAGCCUUCGGGUGACGGUACCUGCAGAAAAAGGACCGGCUAACUACGUGCCAGCAGCCGCGGUAAUACGUAGGGUCCGAGCGUUGUCCGGAAUUAUUGGGCGUA
rnacentral:rRNA from 1 species